GCUACGUAAGAGGCGACCCAGUCAGCAGCUCUGUUCGCCUCCCGAUCUUCAUGUUUAUGCGGUUCUUCUUCUUUCUUCGCGACUGGCUUUUGGGCCUCAUCACUUUUGGAGGCUUUACCUGUAGAAGCUUUUAUCUGAAAAAACCACGUAUUGUACCUUACUUUUUAUAUUACCUUCUAUUUUCUGUUUUUGUUGAUGAUUGUACCCGUUGUUGUACCCAAAAAAUCAUUAUUAGAUAAUAUUUUAAAAUUUUAGCAUCCACCGCAUAAAAUUUCUAGGGAGACCCGUUUGGAGCAUGAGAAUACUCGAAGAAUUGACCUAACACUGGAUUAUUUUCGUACUCCACUCAAAGCAGUGUAUUUAAAAAUCCAGUGUUGAUAGAUAUGCAGGGAGCAACAUCAGCUACCAUAUGUUGGUCC
rnacentral:lncRNA from 1 species